AUUGAACGCUGGCGGCAGGCCUAACACAUGCAAGUCGAGCGGAUGAAGGGAGCUUGCUCCUGGAUUCAGCGGCGGACGGGUGAGUAAUGCCUAGGAAUCUGCCUGGUAGUGGGGGAUAACGUAAGGAAACGGGCGCUAAUACAGCAUACGUCCUGAGGGAGAAAGUGGGGGAUCUUCGGACCUCACGCUAUCAGAUGAGCCUAGGUCGGAUUAGCUAGUUGGUGGGGUAAAGGCCUACCAAGGCGACGAUCCGUAACUGGUCUGAGAGGAUGAUCAGUCACACUGGAACUGAGACACGGUCCAGACUCCUACGGGAGGCAGCAGUGGGGAAUAUUGGACAAUGGGCGAAAGCCUGAUCCAGCCAUGCCGCGUGUGUGAAGAAGGUCUUCGGAUUGUAAAGCACUUUAAGUUGGGAGGAAGGGCAGUAAGUUAAUACCUUGCUGUUUUGACGUUACCAACAGAAUAAGCACCGGCUAACUUCGUG
rnacentral:rRNA from 1 species